rnacentral:rRNA from 1 species
UACGGGGGGUGCAAGCGUUACUCGGAAUCAUUGGGCGUAAAGGGCGCGUAGGCGGCCUAGUAAGUCAGGUGUGAAAGCCCGGGGCUUAACCCCGGAAGUGCAUUUGAUACUGCUAGGCUUGAGUAUGGGAGAGGGAAGUGGAAUUCCUGGUGUAGAGGUGAAAUUCGUAGAUAUCAGGAGGAACACCGGUGGCGAAGGCGACUUCCUGGACCAAUACUGACGCUGAGGCGCGAAGGCGUGGGGAGCAAACAGG